rnacentral:tRNA from 1 species
CAAAGAAUAGUUUAAAAAAAUUAUAAUUUUGGAGAUUAUAGAUAAAGAGUUUCUUUUUCUUUGA